UACGUAGGGGGCAAGCGUUGUCCGGAUUUAUUGGGCGUAAAGAGCGUGUAGGCGGCCAGGUAGGUCGGUUGUGAAAACUAGAGGCUCAACCUCUAGACGUCGACCGAAACCACUUGGCUAGAGUCCGGAAGAGGAGAGUGGAAUUCCUGGUGUAGCGGUGAAAUGCGCAGAUAUCAGGAAGAACACCAAUGGCGAAAGCAGCUCUCUGGGACGGUACUGACGCUGAGACGCGAAAGCGUGGGGAGCGAACAGG
rnacentral:rRNA from 1 species